rnacentral:tRNA from 1 species
GCCGGAGUGGCGGAAUUGGUAUACGCGCUAGUCUUAGGAACUAGUACCGCAAGGUUUAAGGGUUCGAGUCCCUUCUCCGGCA